rnacentral:sRNA from 1 species
GCCAGGACACGCGAUCCGAGAAAGCGUCGAUUCAACCAAACAAAAACCAAGUGCCAAGUGCCGUGUGAAGAGGCCACAAACAACUAACUAACUAACUGCCUCCAGAAACUGUGCGAUUCAAACUAAGCCAACAAUAAAUAUAAAAAAGUUACCAGUGCAUCAGUGCCCGGGAAAAGACUUAAAGCAAGCAGCAGGCGAAGUGAAUAAACCAUAAACAAAACCCCCGAAAUUUAACCGAAAGCAAGGCAAAAACGAAAUUUAAGCGUCUGUGCAUAUUAAUCAGAACGAGAAACGUGAACAGGAUCAAGUCCUAGACAACUUAUCACAGGGGAUUUACGCAGACAGACAAACGCAGGACACGAAUGCGAGUGUAGAGCAAAAGGCAGCGCUAAUCAACGGCCAAACCAGACGACAUCCUUACCGACUGGCCACGCCCACAACUCCCCUUCGAAUAGGAGAAAAAAAGUAACCACCAGAAGCUUGAGAGGAGAAGAGCAGGAGCCGCCUCAUUUGGCCACUGCGGAUUAUGUUAAUUAGAUUUUAAACACGCGAUGACAACAACGCCGGGGGAGCACUUGGCAUUGUAAUGUGACAACAGUUGGCUGAGGACAACAAAACAAUACCAAAAGCGGGCCAUCAGGAGUAGCUGGAAUGCUCGCUUUUUAAUUGACAUUUGCUCGAGUUGAGUUGAGUUGCGUUUUGUUCAACAGCAAUUAGCAUCGU